GGCUCCAUAAUGUAGUGGUUAGCACGUCUGCUUUACACGCAGAAGGGGUUCGCACCCCAGGUGAAGUCAAGGACCAUACCCCGCGUGUGCCAGGCCCUCCCCAGCCCACCCCCAGCCUUCCUGGGUUCACACCCCAGGUGGAGCCA
rnacentral:tRNA from 1 species